GGGAGCGGGAGGAAGCGGGCGCCCGGGAGGGGCGGCGGGAGGGGGCCCCGCCAGGGAGGAAUUCCAGCCCCUCCCGCGGGUCUCGUCCCCCACGCGGGCCGGGGGGCGCCUCGCGGGCGUCUGGUGAGGAUGAUAGCGCCGGGGAGGCUGGGCCCCGCGGCCCACCGCGCGCCCUCCCAGCCUCCGCAGCCCACUCGGCACGGCGGCAGCGCGGCCUGCGGCGCGGCCAGAGCACCACCGCCACCCAAGUCGCCGGCCACGCACCGCAAGCCCGCCCCUUCCCCACCUGCUCGGCCUAGGGUGGGGACCGGCGUCUGCGAGGGGCCCCAAGGUGAGGACAGUAGGAAGGCAACAGUCUGCAAGCCAGGAAGAGAGCCUUCACCAGGAACCAAAUUAGCCAGCACCUUGAUCUUAGACUUCCCAGCCUCCUGAACUGUGAGAAAUAAGUGUCUGGACAGUUGAACAACGAGAGACCUCAUGGAGAGGAGUGAUGCCAAUUAUAUCCAGAAUCUGUGUCUAGGGACUUCCCUGGUGGUGCAGUGAUUGGGAAUCUGCCUGCCAAUGCAGGGGACACGGGUUCGAGCCCUGGUCCGGAAGAUCGCACAUGCCAUGGAGCAACUAAGCCUGUGCACCACAACUACUGAGCCUGAGCUCUAGAGCCUGCGAGUCACAACUACUGAGCCCGCGAGCCACAACUACUGAAGCCUGUGCACCUAGAGCCCGUGCUCUGCAAGAAGAGAAGCCACCGCAAUGAGAAGCCCGCACACAGCAACGAAAAGUAGCCCCCGCUCGCUGCAAAUAGAGAGAAAGCCUGCGUGCAGCAACGAAGA